GCGAACGCUGGCGGCAGGCCUAACACAUGCAAGUCGAACGGAUCCUUCGGGAUUAGUGGCGGACGGGUGAGUAACACGUGGGAACGUGCCUUUUGGUUCGGAAUAGCUCCUGGAAACGGGUGGUAAUGCCGAAUGUGCCCUUCGGGGGAAAGAUUUAUCGCCAUUAGAGCGGCCCGCGUCUGAUUAGCUAGUUGGUGAGGUAAAGGCUCACCAAGGCGACGAUCAGUAGCUG
rnacentral:rRNA from 1 species